GCCACUUUUGAGCAGGCUAAAGAGAGGGAAGCACUCAGACAGCAGACUGAACCACCCUCUACAUCUUUUGGAUGUCUUGAAAGACAAAACUCUCCACUGCGGUCAGGAAUAUUCACUGGUGGCUUUUCCUCCCAAACCACAGUCAUUAGUCAUGAUAUGGAGAUAAGAAACAAAGCAAAGCAGAUCAUUGAAAGAGUUAUGGCCCAAAUUCAGACCACAACAAAUGCAUUAAAACCCGACAUUGUAGAUGCCGUUUCAAAGCUAAAUAAAAUUGAUAAAGACAGCAAAAUGAAGGCAACCAUAGGGGUUUUUGGAAGAACAGGAGUAGGAAAAAGCUCUCUAAUA